rnacentral:lncRNA from 1 species
CGUCUUCCCACUGUCCAGGCUUCCCACCGAAGUACGUUCCUUGCUUCCAGAGCCCCGUCUCCACCCGUCCUGCCGGUCACUCAGAGCUGCUCUGAAUGCUCCGGGGAGCUGUCAGCAGCAGCUGCCUGUGAGCUGCCCAGGUAGGAGCCACGUCGGCCGAUGUGGGCCUUGCUGACCUAGGCCCAGGUCCACGGACACCCAGGAGGGCUCCCAGGCCUGACGUCAGCCUCCCGUGCACUUGGGGGCCCUUGGAACGCUCCAGGGCGGGUCACCAAGGGAGCAGGGCCAGCCGGGCCUCUGUGAAGAUGGCCAGCAGGGUCCCCGGGCCCCCGGAGCUUCCCUUGAGCCCGGCCCCAACCGAGAGCCCCUGGCCUCCUCCCGCCAGCAACAGCACUGCGUCCCUCCCCAGCUGGAGAGGCCACCUGCCACCCCUGCCCGGCCCCCUGCUCAGUCCCUCCAGUAUCCCCGAAAGGGCCCCGGAGUAUGUCCCCCGUAACACCCCAGGCCCUGACCCUACCCGGCCUCCUCACCUCCAGCUGUGGUUCCACCUCAGAGAGUGGUCUCUACCAGUUUGUGGUGGAGGGUCUCGUGGGGCCUGCCCAGCACCUGGGCUCUACUGAGGGGGACCCACUGUGUGCCGAUAAAUACAGGCCACAGGCCGACAUGGCCCAAAGCAGAGUGACUGACCCCUGGUUUGGACCACCCCAGGGCUGACUCCGGUGCUCCAGACCCGGUACGUGCCUCUCCGGCUCUAGACCUGGGGAGUACCCUUGUGUGGACAGAGGCCACUCUCCUGGCUCGGAGGGGAAGGCUCCUCAAAGACACAGACUGGCCCUUUACAGCAUGCCCUCUCAGGGAUGCUGGCUCUGACUUCCACGUGCGUCACCAGGCAAGCUCCUGCCCCUCUUAGAACCCCAGCUGUAAGGAGCCGAGUCUUUUGUCCUGUGUCCCCCCAAGUCCAUCGUGGAGCACCUCUACCUCAUGGAGGCCUGCCUGGAGGACUCAUGGUCCUCUUAGGCUCGGAGGACUUCAGCUGAAGUAAGAACCUCCCACGGCACACAGUAGGUGUCCAAUAAGCACUGCACCCAACCACCGCCUCCGCCCCCUCCCUCGCGCCUUUUCUGCAGGCCCGGGAGAGGCUGCCGGCUCCGCUUCUCUUCACGGGAAACAGACGUUCCUGGAACAGACCUCCCUGAGUCCAGCAGCCCAGCCCGGGGGACGGCAUGGCCGCCCCUGCGUUCCCACCGGGUCCAGCGUCCAACAGGUAGAACCAGCUGCGAUCCUCCGAGCUGGCUGCACGAGGAAGACGUGGGAUCACGAGUGCAAGCACCACUCAGGGGGCCCGUCGUCCAGCUACCCAGCACUGCCCAGGAAGAGGCUUGUCCCAGGCCAGCCUGGGGGGCCCCUGUCUCCAAACGACACCAAAGAAGGGCUCAGCGGCCGGGCACCUGGGCUCAGUGCCCAGAGCCCCAAGCAGAACCGGAAAGGGCUUCGCUUUGAAGUGUGUGCCUCGCCUCCGGAGCCCUGUCCACUCGUCCUGUGUGCGUCCAACUUGUGGCUCCACGUCAUCAUGUCACGAGUCCAACAAUCAGGAGCUGAAUCUGACCCUUGGCCUGAAGGUCACGCCGCAGGUUUGUUUGCAAAUGAGAGCGCUCUGCGGUUCCUGGCGGCCACUGGUGUCUCCCACAGGGCACCUGCUGCGUCCAGACGCUGCACACCUUCCGCCUUCUGGAUGGAGCCGGGGUCCUAGGUGCUAGAUAAGCGUGAGCCUGUGGGGCCGGCUUCCUGCUCUGCGCACAGUGACCCCGGGGCCCUCCACCCCGUGCACCUGGCACUCGGCCCGGGUCCCGUUGGAGCCCUGGGAGUGGGACACCAGGACUCUGCUGUGGGCACUGUGAGAGCUCCGAGCCGACGGCACAGGGGCACCAGGGCCCGGGGCAGAGGCGCUGCCUGCACCGCCCUACACACAGGCGNCUGGGAGUCACAUCCUGCAGCUGAGGCAGACGGGGUCCACCAGGGACUGCCCUGCGACAGCCAAGACCCACCAAUGGGGCAGAGUGGCCACCCGGCCGGAGGAGGGCUGGGCCUCCCUUGGGGUGGGGGUUCCCACCGCCAGCUAGCCCCAGGUCACGGGCACUGCUCCCAGCCACCAGUAAGUUCUGUGAGGCCAACUGUCGCCUCCAUUAAUGCGUAAAAAUCAUCAGAUUCCCUCCGGAGACCCCGAUCGUAAACCCGCAGGUCCCCAGGGUGCUGGCCGGGCAGGCGAGUGGCAUCCAUGGGGAGGCUGCCCCCAGCGCCCCGCCCCGCCCGGCCCUCCACACAGCCUCCUCCCCGAUCGAUUUUAUGAAGGCAGCUCGGGGUUCGUCAAUGUUUCCGCCGCCGCUUUAUGCCCCUGUUUAAAAAUUCUUAAUUAAGCAGGUUUUUUCUGUUUACACUUGAACUAAUUACACUCUUAAAACCGACAAUAAAACAUUAGGCCCAGGCUAUUAAAGGCUGCGCUGCAGCCUGCGGCCCGGCCGUCGGGGCAAUUCAGGAACUGGGCCCUUCCACGGGAGAUAGGAUCGCCCGGCGGCAGGCCGGUGCCUGGCUCCGCUCAAGAGGGUCCCGGGGCCUUAUCCACCUUCCUGGAGGGUGGGGUGGGGGACAGCAGGCGGCCGGAUGGGCCCUGCUUCCGCCAGCCUGGGCAGCGGACAGAGCUAUUGAUCGACGCCCACGCCCGGCCCAUCUUCUGGGGCAUCCUCGGAAGCUGGGGUCCGUGCCAGGGAGGGCGCAGGGUGAGCCGGGGACCAAGGGUUGGGAGGACCACAGGCUCAGUCGUCGGGUGCCAGGCAGCAGUGGCCCCCGGCCAGGGCCUGGCAGGCAGGUUGGUGGCCCUGCCCCAGGAAGCACUUAGAGGGCAGGCGUGGAGGGCCCGCGCUUCCAGAGCAGGUCCCUGCCCUCGGGGCGUCUGACGCUCCUGCCGUGGCCAAGCCCGGCGGCCGUCUUCCCACUGUCCAGGCUUCCCACCGAAGUACGUUCCUUGCUUCCAGAGCCCCGUCUCCACCCGUCCUGCCGGUCACUCAGAGCUGCUCUGAAUGCUCCGGGGAGCUGUCAGCAGCAGCUGCCUGUGAGCUGCCCAGGUAGGAGCCACGUCGGCCGAUGUGGGCCUUGCUGACCUAGGCCCAGGUCCACGGACACCCAGGAGGGCUCCCAGGCCUGACGUCAGCCUCCCGUGCACUUGGGGGCCCUUGGAACGCUCCAGGGCGGGUCACCAAGGGAGCAGGGCCAGCCGGGCCUCUGUGAAGAUGGCCAGCAGGGUCCCCGGGCCCCCGGAGCUUCCCUUGAGCCCGGCCCCAACCGAGAGCCCCUGGCCUCCUCCCGCCAGCAACAGCACUGCGUCCCUCCCCAGCUGGAGAGGCCACCUGCCACCCCUGCCCGGCCCCCUGCUCAGUCCCUCCAGUAUCCCCGAAAGGGCCCCGGAGUAUGUCCCCCGUAACACCCCAGGCCCUGACCCUACCCGGCCUCCUCACCUCCAGCUGUGGUUCCACCUCAGAGAGUGGUCUCUACCAGUUUGUGGUGGAGGGUCUCGUGGGGCCUGCCCAGCACCUGGGCUCUACUGAGGGGGACCCACUGUGUGCCGAUAAAUACAGGCCACAGGCCGACAUGGCCCAAAGCAGAGUGACUGACCCCUGGUUUGGACCACCCCAGGGCUGACUCCGGUGCUCCAGACCCGGUACGUGCCUCUCCGGCUCUAGACCUGGGGAGUACCCUUGUGUGGACAGAGGCCACUCUCCUGGCUCGGAGGGGAAGGCUCCUCAAAGACACAGACUGGCCCUUUACAGCAUGCCCUCUCAGGGAUGCUGGCUCUGACUUCCACGUGCGUCACCAGGCAAGCUCCUGCCCCUCUUAGAACCCCAGCUGUAAGGAGCCGAGUCUUUUGUCCUGUGUCCCCCCAAGUCCAUCGUGGAGCACCUCUACCUCAUGGAGGCCUGCCUGGAGGACUCAUGGUCCUCUUAGGCUCGGAGGACUUCAGCUGAAGUAAGAACCUCCCACGGCACACAGUAGGUGUCCAAUAAGCACUGCACCCAACCACCGCCUCCGCCCCCUCCCUCGCGCCUUUUCUGCAGGCCCGGGAGAGGCUGCCGGCUCCGCUUCUCUUCACGGGAAACAGACGUUCCUGGAACAGACCUCCCUGAGUCCAGCAGCCCAGCCCGGGGGACGGCAUGGCCGCCCCUGCGUUCCCACCGGGUCCAGCGUCCAACAGGUAGAACCAGCUGCGAUCCUCCGAGCUGGCUGCACGAGGAAGACGUGGGAUCACGAGUGCAAGCACCACUCAGGGGGCCCGUCGUCCAGCUACCCAGCACUGCCCAGGAAGAGGCUUGUCCCAGGCCAGCCUGGGGGGCCCCUGUCUCCAAACGACACCAAAGAAGGGCUCAGCGGCCGGGCACCUGGGCUCAGUGCCCAGAGCCCCAAGCAGAACCGGAAAGGGCUUCGCUUUGAAGUGUGUGCCUCGCCUCCGGAGCCCUGUCCACUCGUCCUGUGUGCGUCCAACUUGUGGCUCCACGUCAUCAUGUCACGAGUCCAACAAUCAGGAGCUGAAUCUGACCCUUGGCCUGAAGGUCACGCCGCAGGUUUGUUUGCAAAUGAGAGCGCUCUGCGGUUCCUGGCGGCCACUGGUGUCUCCCACAGGGCACCUGCUGCGUCCAGACGCUGCACACCUUCCGCCUUCUGGAUGGAGCCGGGGUCCUAGGUGCUAGAUAAGCGUGAGCCUGUGGGGCCGGCUUCCUGCUCUGCGCACAGUGACCCCGGGGCCCUCCACCCCGUGCACCUGGCACUCGGCCCGGGUCCCGUUGGAGCCCUGGGAGUGGGACACCAGGACUCUGCUGUGGGCACUGUGAGAGCUCCGAGCCGACGGCACAGGGGCACCAGGGCCCGGGGCAGAGGCGCUGCCUGCACCGCCCUACACACAGGCGGCUCCCUCGUCCCAUCACACUAAACUGACACGAGUUCAAGACCCACUUAGCAGAGCACGAAGCCAGCCAUGGGACCUGAGCUCGGUAGGGCCGCACACCAGGAUGCUGGCCCCAGAAAGGCCGGUACACAGCAGGUACUCAAUAAAUACUCGCCCAGUACUAAGUAACUGAGGAAGGCUGGAGGCUCAGCGUGUCCACGGGAACGGUCUCCAGCUCCCAGGCAGAGGCAGGGAUGAGGGAGGCUGAACAGCGGGGCUCUCGGGGGCUGUCCCCCCAGCCCUGCUGCAGGUGGCCUCCGGGAAGGUCCUGGGCUUCAGUCCCCAGGGUCACCACAGGGUCCUCCUGAGAGGAGGCAGGAGGGUCAGAGUUGGAGGAGGGGGACAAGCAGAGGGCUGUGGGGGCCUCAGGAGCCAGAGGAGGAGGUCCAGGACUCUCCCUGGGCCUCAGGAGGCCAGCCUGCUGCACCUGGGCUGGGCCAGGGAGGCCUGUGCCGGACUCUGACUCCUAGACCCACAAGCAGACGACGCGUCUCUGAACCACUCAGUCUGUGGUCAUUUGUCACCGCAGCUGCGGGACCCUGGCAAGCGCCACCCAGAUCUGGAGGAGGGACCAUCUGGCCUUCUGCAAGCUGACCUUUUGAAUGAAAGCUUCGGCCACUUCCUACAAAGAAGUGGGACCCCUCGCCUGACCCUGCCUGUCCAUCUGUCAGGUGGGGAAACUGAGGCGAGGGGUGCGGAGGUGUCAUGGCUGACAGAGCUGAGACUGGGCCACUGUCACUCCAGCCUGCGGUCUGCCCAGCCACUUUUCUAGGGUGGACAGUUGUCCCCCAGAGGUGAAGGUCAAAGCCAGGCUGCAGAGGAGUCUGGCGACUCCUCAAAAAGAAGGGCUCAGGCCUGUCUCCCAGCAGCUUGGGAGGCCGAGGCAGGAGGACGCCAGCUCCUGGCCAGGCUGGGGGAGUCCGGGAACUCAGCGGGACCCAGGCUCAGAAUAAAAGGGGCUGGAGUGCGGCUCAGAGGUGGAGCCCCGGCUCCGGCCCCAGCAGCACGAAACCCAAGUCCCCGAUUGCCACCUGUGGCCGCAGGCCCAGGGACGGCGGGCCUUGCAGGAGAACAGCUCUCCGAGCCCCUGGGGAGUCUCCCCGCGCCCACCAGGGCCUGCCUCUCGGGGUCUUGCCACGUUCCCUCCCCUGGCUUCAAAUUUCCAAGUGACAUGGGCGUGGGAUAGGUGUGAACAAGGUGUUUAGGCCAUUGGCAAACCGUGAGAGUGACUUUCUGGUGACCCCCUAGGACCGGGGACAUGCCUGGGGACAGGGGACACGUGAAUCCUGAGAGGGCACUGCCAGGCUGCGGGGGGCACCGUGGAGCGUUGAGGGGGUCCCAGCCAUCGCCUGUGGACCUGGCUGAAGCCCCCCAGGGACCUGCCUGGUGAUGGGCAGGGGUGGGGCCGGCUGGACCACGGCAGUGGGCGAUGUUGCUCCAAGGGCAAGGUCUACAGUCUACUCCUCACAACACUGGCCAGGGGCUCCCAGCCUCUCAGCCCUGCUGCGGCCUGCAGGGGUCCCUGUUCCCCCGCAUGGGCACAGGUGAGGGGCCUGUUGAGCGGACCUGGCCGAGGGUAUGUCUUUCCCUCUGGGCCAGGGCAGCAGUCCAUCUGCAGUGGUAUGGACACUCAGCCUCCAUUGGUGGGACCGAGCCUCAGGGCCCCUGCCCCCGGGCGCCAGGCAAGAUUCCCUGAGUCCCCCAGUAGCUAAGGCCACCUCCCAGGGCACUGGGAGAUGUCCUCUUUGCAGAGGCCCCCCAUGUCCUGCAUGACCCACAGGCCUGGGCCACAGGGAGGACAGGUGUCAGAGACAGUGCUGUCCCCUCCAGUAUGGAGAGGGGAUCCAUGCAGGACAGCAGACUGCCGGACAGGAAGACACAGACUGCGUCCCGACGUACCCAGGAAGGCCAAGAGCGAGUGGUGGCCACGGGCAAGGGGCCAGCUGAGGCGGGGUUCAGAGCCUGGGGGACCCUGGGGCCCGGGCUGGGGUGGGGGCGUUGGGCUGGGGCUGCUGCCCACCUGGACUCCUGCUCCGCGCCUGGGUGGGGGCGGGGAGCACUUCUGGGAAGGUGGAGGCGUCCUCAGGGGCUCGGCUUCUGGAACGGCUCCACCUCUUCUCAGAAUGCCUCCCCAGGCCCGCUGGGCCCAGCCCCACACAAGGGGCCUCUGCGCCCCCAGGGCUCUGGGGACAAAGGGGCCUCCAGCAAGGCAUGGAGGAGCCUGGCCAGGGAGGAGGUCCCCCCAGUAGCAGGUCUGUUCCCAGCACUGAGGGGACGUGCAGCUCAGCAUGACCAGCGCAGAGCUGGGGGGUGGAGGCUCUGACGUGGAGGGCCACUGCAGGCCACUGCGUGAUGGGGGACAGGUCUGUGCCCUUCCUCCCCCCCCAGGCCCUGGAGAGGACAGAGCCAGGCUCGCACCCCUGCUGUGGAGCCAAGGGUCCUACGAGGAGGGCGGGGGCCAGCCAGCAGCCCGUUUCAAUAAAGGGGUUUCGCUCCUGCCACCUGCGCCUGGACGGUGGCCCCAGGGGAGACUGAGGCUCUGAGAAGCCCAGUGGUCUGGGAGUGGGGACCCCAAUGCAGGUCCAGCAGCCUCUAGGAGUCCCAGAGGGUCCAGGCUUGGCCUCCCUCACUGUCCAUUUCAAACACCUGUGAAAACCCUUUCUCAGGUGCCCACGGGCAAAGCCAAGGGCGAGACACGGGUGUCCUCCCCCCUGAGCCUGGUCCUGGCACACCCGGGGGGCGACCUGAGGAUGAAGCUGAAGGGUACUGAGUGCUGGGCUCAGGCCCACUGCUGCUGCCCUGGGGCCAGGCUCUUGCCACCUUGUGUCACCUGAGCAGACUGCCACUUCACAGGUGAGGAACCUGAGGCCCUGGGAGGGGCUGGCCGUGCAGAGCCCCUUAGAACCUCUCUGGGCCUUGCUCCGGGCGCAUGAAGCCAGGAGCUGUUGUCAGCCGGCGUCCUGAUGAAGGAGUCCUCGCAGCGCCGCGGCGGGCGGCCCGUCCCUCAGGGGAUGCAGCCUCAUGGUCAGCAUGGCUCUGGCCCGGAGGAGGGGACCGUUGUGAGCAUGGCUGCAGUCCCUGGUGGCUCUAGAGGUGACCCUAGAGGUGGUGUGACGUCCCCAGUGUCAGUGUCCCCACACAUGAUCCAGCCAGCGAGCCCUGGGCCCCAACAGUUCCUGCGGUCCCCCUAGUGCAGAAGGGGCCAGAGCUCUGACGGCAGCUGGCUGGCCAAGGCACGCACUGAGACCCUGGACGGCCCGCUGAGGGCCACUCGCGCUGUGUCCCGGGGUCAGGCUGUUGGCGUCACAGACUGGCACACAGCAGGCUCCCAAUGCUCACCGUGGGUCCCAGGGUCGAGGGGGCCCCUUGCUCCUGCUGACACAGUGAAUGGCCAGGACCAACUGGGGCACAUCUGUCCCCUGCUGGAGACCCUAGAUGGCUCCCCAGUCCCCUCCCCUUAGGGCCCCGGGACAGCAGGCUGGGUCUCACCCCUGGCCCUUGCCUGUUGCCCCGUUGGGUUUUCUCUCUGUGGUGCUGGGGGCUGGCCCCGGGGGCACUGCCCACUGAGCCACCCAGGGCUCUUGUUCUGAGACAGGACCGCGGUCCAUGCCUGGGUCCAGCCCCAGCACCCUGGCCCGUCCCCGUCCAAGUCCAGCUCAGCUCAUGGGCUUCAGACCACCAGCGAGGAGCAGGCACAGAGGGUGUCUGGCUGGAGGGACAGGCCAGCCGGGAUGGGACUCUGUUUCACCACCGUGUCACCAGGGCACCUCCUGCUCAUGCCGCCGAGACCGUCUCCCCACAUUUCAAAAAGGCGGUGAGGGCAGAGGCUGGGCAAGGGCGGCGGCCGGCCCUCCUGGGGCCCGGGGACACGCCGAGGGCCAGCGUCCCAGCUGGAGCCCUGCUGCCCACCAGGCCUCACCCUGACCCACCGAGUGCCCACUGCAGGCCUCUGGCACUGACCAGGCCCUGCGAACCUCUGUUCCCUUACCGUGUGCUGGGGACAAUGACCACGCUGGUGACAGUGUAUGGAGGCAGGGCCCCUGGGACAUGGUGGUGAUCCCUAUUGUGACACUCACGGCUUCACAGACAUGGCCCCCAAGAGAGUGGAGCUUGGGGGAGCUCUGGGGAUCAGGGACUCCAGGGGACGGCGGGGCGCAGGCGCCUGGGAGCCCCCAACCCUGGCGUGGGCCCACCCCUCCUCCCGGCUCCGUGCAGACGCCAGCGAGCACCUGCUCGGGUGUUUGUAGGCGGCAGGACCCCGGGAGGACGGGGAGACCCGGUGAGGGUCGGAGCUUCUUCCUGCAGCUCAGACUCUCCUACCCCGAGCCUCAGGCUGGGGUCCCCAAAGCAGAGGCCAGGAGGCUCAGAGAGGGUGGGCGAGUGGGAGGUGCCACAAGAAAAGCCACCAAUGAGUUGUCACUGAGCUGUUGGUCCCUGGGGCUCGGUCCCCUUGGGGACUUCUGAGGGACCCCCGGGAAGAGCUGCGGAGCCUCGUUCCCCCUUGAGGGAGGGAUGCACCCCACCCCCAGCACCGUCAGUUCCACGGGCACAGAGGUGGCACUGUGGACUGCCCUGGGGCUCGGGGGCCGAGGGUGGGCACGGGGGCCACUGCAGAGGGGCAGGGACUGCUGUCCUGGCUCCACACACACCGAGGAGCGGACGCGCAGCUGACGCAGGAGCCGGAGCUCUCAGGGGGCAGCCACACAGGUCCAGGCCCAGGGAGCGGACAGCCGGCCUGCGUCCAGCCCUGGGCCCCGCUCUCAGCCAACAUCUUCAUUACAGAACCGAGUUGUUUAAAUAAAUGAAUUAAUAUUGACGAACCAUCAGCGACCUAAUAAAUGAUUAGUUAAGGCGCACAUACAUCAGGCCGCGGGGACGCCCCGAGCCCUUAAUUACUG